rnacentral:misc_RNA from 1 species
AAGUCGUAACAAGGUCUCCGUUGGUGAACCAGCGGGGGGAUCAUUACAGAGUCAUAAAAAACUCCCAAACCCAUGUGAAUUUACCUCAUGUUGCCUCGGCGGAGGGCUUAGGGUUACGGUUACCCUGCAGCGCCAGAUUCCGAAGUUACCUAGUGGCUUUGCGUGAAGGUGCUUAUCUGCAGUGUCUGUCCUUUAUACAGCUAUUUUGAUAGCUCUCUCGACAGAAAUUUGUAACCAGCCCGUAGGCUCCCGCCGGUGGAAAUCUCAAUCCUUGUUAUUAUAAUAGAUAUCUGAGCGUCUUAUUUUAAUAAGUUAAAA